GCCAAAUGCAGUGAUCUGGUCUCUUGAUUUUUUUCCCAUUUGGAAUUUUCUUGAAGCCUCUCUGCUCUCCAAACUUGACCCUCCAUGUUCAAGUUUUCGGCGGACACAACAUCUUUGUUUGUAUGUGGUGCUCAGGAUGGAACCCGGGCUGCACCCAUGCCAGUGAUGAUGAAAAUGUUUUGGGACCUACAAUGAUGAUGGCUGCACGACCUUAUGAAUACACUGAACACCAAUCACUGAUGAGAGCUGAGCAGCUUUCCUCUUCUGAGCCAUUUGUCCUCAAUGUUCUUUUUCACCUUGAUCCUAGAGCAAUGGAGUUGGUCAUCUAUGGACUGAAACUUCUGAAACUGAAGAAAUAAAUGAAAAAUUAAAAAGAGGAUGAACUGAUAUAUGAAGGAUAUACAAGACAGGAAAACAAAUAGAUUGCAAGCUUUUUGAAUCAAGCUACAUUCCUCUGCCACACUCUUCUGCCAAGAUGUCUUAUCUCACCUAAUCCCCAAGGAAUGGAGUUAGCCAUGUAAGGACUGAGACCUCUGAAACUGAUAGGCAAAAGUUUUCAGGAUCUGAGUUUCACACUAAUUGUGGAAAAUCUGGUUUGAACUUGAUCUAUGGCCAGUGUCUGGAGAUUAGGAUCAUUACAUAAAAAGAAACACUGGAAAUGGAGUGCUGCUGGAUAAAGAUCAAACCUGAGCUCUUAUCAACAUGAACAUGUCAAUCUGAAUACUUACCCGAAAGAAGAAGUGAACAAUGUGUGAAAACAAAUGAAACUACUCAUUGUUGCUAUUGUUUAUUAAAAAAUCUUAAUUUUGUCUAUUUUUGUGAGGGAGUUUUUAUCAAAUUAAGUUAAUAAAAACAGAAUUUCACAACAUAAAUUAUAUCAGAUAUUUAAAAACUGUUUUUCAAAUUAUUUCUCAAAAAUAAUAAUUGCAAGCCUCAGGUAAGUAUUGCUUUUGUUUAGAUAGCAUACAUAAAUAUUUUGUUAUGAACUUUAUAUUUUAUAAAAUUUUUCUCAAACAUAUAUAGUAGUAUUCUACCUUAAUAAUGCACAAAUGAAAGAAUUAAGGAAUUUAUAGUUCCAAAUUAAUAUUUUUUACUCAAGUGAAAGAGUAGUAAAUUUAAAAAUAAGAGAAAUAGAGACAAAUGUACUGUGAUAUAAAAUUUAAAAGAUGGUAACAUGAAGUGUAGUCUAAGAACAUGGUUUUAUACAGCUAAUUACAUUCUUGGUUGAUAGAAUAUAAAAUGAAAAUUUGAAAUGAAAACUUUUAUGCAUAUACUUUUUGCAAUUUAUAUAACUUUAAAAUACAGGGAAGGGCAUAGUAUUUUAAAUAAAUUGCAACUAACCAUUUAUAAAAAAAUAAAAUUUUCUGUGUUCAGUUUAAGUAACAUAUUCAUUUAAUCCAAAAAAUGUAAUUUAUUUAGUAGCAAAAAUAUUUAUUAUGAAAUGUUACAAUGAAUACAAGUUCCUAUUUUUACUUAUCACAUUAAUAAUACUUCCUUUUUACUCUCAACAUGUUUCUUAAUUUUAUCUCAUAUUCAGUUUUUCUAUAGAAUGUAUUCUUGUUUUGUUUAUAAUCUUAUAUAUCUUUGUAAUAAUUUCUCAAAUUUUAUGAUAAAAAUUACAAGAACAGCCAUUUAUUGUGCUCUUAUCCUAGGCAGAAUUACAGUAGAUGGGGUAGAGAGAGAAGAUGGGAGGGGAGGGGAGGGGGGAUAGUAGAGGAUAGGAAAGGUAGCAGAAUACAACAGUUACUAAUAGGGCAUUAUUUAAAAAUGCGGAUGUGUAACCGAUGUGAUUCUGCAAUCUGUAUUUGGGGUAAAAUUGGGAGUUCAUAACCAACUUGAA